rnacentral:tRNA from 1 species
GGGGAAUUGAUGUAAUUGGGAGCAUAAUAGACCUGCAAUCUAUUCGUAUCGGUUCGACUCCGUUAUUCUCCAC